AUACGUAGGUGGCAAGCGUUGUCCGGAUUUACUGGGUGUAAAGGGGGCGCAGGCGGGAAGCUAAGUUGGAUGUGAAAUACCGGGGCUCAACUCCGGAGCUGCAUCCAAAACUGGUUUUCUUGAGUGGAGUAGAGGCAAGCGGAAUUCCGAGUGUAGCGGUGAAAUGCGUAGAUAUUCGGAGGGACACCAGUGGCGAAGGCGGGUUGCCGGGCUCUAACCGAACGUGAGGCCCCAAAGCGUGGGGAGCAAACAAGAUUAGAUACCCUGGUAGUCCACGCCGUAAACGAUGAUUACUAGGUGUUGGGGGGCUGCCCCCUUCCGUGCCGCAGUUAACGCAAUAAGUAAUCCACCUGGGGAGUACGGCCGCAAGGCUGAAACUCAAAUGAAUUGGCGGGG
rnacentral:rRNA from 1 species